CCUACGGGAGGCAGCAGUGGGGAAUAUUGCACAAUGGGGGAAACCCUGAUGCAGCGACGCCGCGUGAGUGAAGAAGUAUUUCGGUAUGUAAAGCUCUAUCAGCAGGGAAGAAAAUGAUGGUACCUGAUUAAGAAGCCCCGGCUAACUACGUGCCAGCAGCCGCGGUAAUACGUAGGGGCCAAGCGUUAUCCGGAUUGACUGGGUGAAAAGGGAGCGUAGACGGCAGGACAAGUCUGGGGUGAAAGGCGGGGGCUCAACCCGGGAACUGCAUUGGAAACUGGACGGCUAGAGUGCAGGAGAGGUGGGUAGAAUUCCAGGUGUAGCGGUGAAAUGCGUAGAUAUUAGGAGGAACACCGGUGGCGAAGGCGGCUUACUGGACUGAGACUGACGUUGAGGUUCGAAAGCGUGGGGAGCAAACAGGAUUAGAUACCCCGGUAGUC
rnacentral:rRNA from 1 species